rnacentral:misc_RNA from 1 species
AAGUCGUAACAAGGUUUCCGUAGGUGAACCUGCGGAAGGAUCAUUAACACGUAUCCAACGUUAAACAACCCUGUGAACUUUCAGCCUGCUCUUGUAACCAUGAGGAACAGCAAUCCCGGUAAAUCAUUGCAAACAGUUUUGAUUCGGGACCUCUGUCCAAAAGGAGUUACAAUUGAGCAGGUCGAUCACCGACCGGCAGACAUGUCACAGGGUCACCACGCCCCUUAAUCACCCCAAUUUGAAAUUGCUCCUACCUGGUGGUAACGCACUGGGUCAAAAAAACCGAACAACUGUUAACAAUGGAUAUCUUGGUUCUC